rnacentral:lncRNA from 1 species
AUAGUGAUAGUGACACAGACAGUCCGGGUGGAGGAAAUAUCAUUCACUUAAGGAUAAUUACUUAGCAAUUUUUCAGACUUUACCAUUCCAUCUAAGAUGUGCAGCACAUACUCUUAGCUUGUGUGCAUCUACUGAUCUGGAAAAAACAAUGAAAGGAAUACCUGACCUUCAUUCUCAUCCAUCAUUCUAUCCAUCAUAAAGUAUUGAAAAAUUAUAGCAAGUUCUGGAAAGCAGCAUCUAGACCAAAAACUGCUGAAAUCUUAGAGAGCCUAUUUGGACAUACUCUCAGUUGACCAGGAGUAACAAGAUGGAACUCUCUUUAUGAUUCUCUUAGACAAAUACAGGAGAUCUGAGAAAAAUAUUAUGAACUUGCCAAGAGCAUUAUCUUUGAAGGAUGUGUUAAAGGAAAAUGAAUUUCUAUAUAUUUCAGAGGAUUUAGAUUGCUCUCAUGCACUGGCUAAGGCAAUUCAUAUUUUGCAGGAGGAGAAAUAUGCAUUCUAUGGAAUGCUGAUACCAACUUUAUUUUAUUUGAGAAGAAAGUUAGAGAUGUUAUUGGAAAAGGACAUUGUCAUACGGUAAACCAAUUGCCAC